rnacentral:tRNA from 1 species
GGCCCGGUAGUUCAGUUGGUUAGAGCGCCAGCCUGUCACGCUGGAGGCCGUGGGUUCAAGUCCCAUCCGGGUCGCCA